rnacentral:piRNA from 1 species
UCACUGUAAUUGUACGCCGAUAAUGACGC